GAUGAACGCUGGCGGCGUGCCUAAUACAUGCAAGUCGAACGCAUAGCGAAAGGUGCUUGCACCUUUCAAGUGAGUGGCGAACGGGUGAGUAACACGUGGACAACCUGCCUCAAGGCUGGGGAUAACAUUUGGAAACAGAUGCUAAUACCGAAUAAAACUUAGUGUCGCAUGACACAAAGUUAAAAGGCGCUUCGGCGUCACCUAGAGAUGGAUCCGCGGUGCAUUAGUUAGUUGGUGGGGUAAAGGCCUACCAAGACAAUGAUGCAUAGCCGAGUUGAGAGACUGAUCGGCCACAUUGGGACUGAGACACGGCCCAAACUCCUACGGGAGGCUGCAGUAGGGAAUCUUCCACAUUGGGCGAAAGCCUGAUGGAGCAACGCCGCGUGUGUGAUGAAGGCUUUCGGGUCGUAAAGCACUGUUGUAUGGGAAGAACAGCUAGAAUAGGAAAUGAUUUUAGUUUGACGGUACCAUACCAGAAAGGGACGGCUAAAUACGUG
rnacentral:rRNA from 1 species